rnacentral:ncRNA from 2 species
UUAAAAAUCGAUUGAUAUUACCGUAUAUGUUUGAUGAUAUGGUUCAAACGUUUCUACUAAGCAACCUAUAAUUGCUAAGCUACGGGAAUUACUUUAAUUAUG